rnacentral:misc_RNA from 1 species
GAUGAAGAACGUAGCGAAAUGCGAUACGUAAUGUGAAUUGCAGAAUUCAGUGAAUCAUCGAAUCUUUGAACGCAUAUUGCGCUCUCUGGUAUUCCGGAGAGCAUGCUUGUUUGAGUAUCAGUAAACACCUCAACUCCCUUUUCUUUUUUGAAAUUGGAGCUGGACUUGAGUGAUCCCAACGCUUUCUUCCAAGAAAGUGGCGGGUUGCUUGAAAUGCAGGUGCAGCUGAACUUUUCUCUGAGCUAUAAGCAUAUCUAUUUAGUCUGCCUAAAAAACAGAUUAUUACCUUUGCUGCAGCUAACAUAAAGGAGACUAGUUCUUGUGCUGACUGAUGCAGGAUUCACAGAGACAGCUUCGUCUGACUUUGUAAACUCGAUCUCAAAUCAAGUAAGACUACCCGCUGAACUUAAGCAUAUCAAUAAGCGGAGGA